rnacentral:rRNA from 1 species
UACGUAGGGUGCAAGCGUUAAUCGGAAUUACUGGGCGUAAAGCGUGCGCAGGCGGUUCGGAAAGAAAGAUGUGAAAUCCCAGGGCUUAACCUUGGAACUGCAUUUUUAACUACCGGGCUAGAGUGUGUCAGAGGGGGGUGGAAUUCCACGUGUAGCAGUGAAAUGCGUAGAUAUGUGGAGGAACACCGAUGGCGAAGGCAGCCCCGUGGGAUAACACUGACGCUCAUGCACGAAAGCGUGGGGAGCAAACAGG